rnacentral:sRNA from 1 species
GUCGCCUUGAUGGCUUCUUCGGUGCCGAGAUGGUCGGACGCGAAAGGGAUCACCGACGCUUCCGGCUGCGGCAUCGACGUAUAGA